rnacentral:rRNA from 1 species
CUGAAGAGUUUGAUCAUGGCUCAGAUUGAACGCUGGCGGCAGGCCUAACACAUGCAAGUCGAGCGCUACCUUCGGGUGGAGCGGCGGACGGGGGAGUAACGCGUGGGAA